GUGGCACUGUCCCUGGCAGCAGAGUGGCACUGUCCCUGGGCAGCAGAGUGGCACUGUCCCUGGACAGCAGAGUGGCACUGUCCCCGGACAGCAGAGUGGCACUGUCCCUGGGCAGCAGAGUGGCACUGUCCCCGGGGGGGGGGGGGGGGGGGGGGGGGGGGGGGGGGGGGGGGGGGGGGGGGGGGGGGGGGGGGGGGGGGGGGGGG
rnacentral:lncRNA from 12 species